rnacentral:misc_RNA from 1 species
UUUCCGUAGGUGAACCUGCGGAAGGAUCAUUCAUAAUAAAGUGUUAUAUGGCACUUUUUAAAAAUCCAUAUCCACCUUGUGUGCAAUGUUAGAUCUCGUCAAUCUUGGCGAGAUUUUUAUACAUCAACUCAUUCUUUAACUAAUUUGUCUGAAAAAUAUUAUGAAUACUUAAUUCAAAAUACAACUUUCAACAACGGAUCUCUUGGCUCUC